rnacentral:lncRNA from 1 species
GACUCUCCCAUCCAAGGCAUGCAGACUGGGGAAUGUUUCGGUGUACAAGAGAUGAAAUAGGGAUGGAGUGCCCCCCACGUUCUUUCUGCAAGUGCCUAUUUGUGAGUGUGUGUAUCUGGGAUUUUCAGUGCUUUACCGGGGCUCUUGUGCAGAGUGCACGGUGAAGGCUGCGAGGGUCUCACUCUGUUACCCAGGCUGGAGUGGUGCAAUGGCACAAUCUCAGCUCACUGCAACCCCUGCCACUGCAACCCUUGCCUCCAGGUUCAAGUGCUUCUCUUGCCUCAGCCUUCCAAGUAGCUGGGAUUACAGGCACCUGCCACCACACCUGGCUGAUUUUUGUAUUUUUAACAGAGACGGGGUUUCACCAUGUUGGCCAAGCUGGUCUCAAACUCCUGACCUCAAGUGAUCUGCCUGCCUCAGCCUCCCAAAAUGCUGGGAUUACAGGUGUAAGCCACCAUGCCCAGCCAGGUAUGCAUUUCAUAGUGUAUGAAUCAUACCUCAAAAUUUAUAAAAAUAAAAAAGGAUUUUAAAAAAUGAACAGCCCUUUAGGUAUGGGAGGAGGCGAGGAGUAAGAAAGGUGAAUGGACUCUGCAUUACCACUUGCCGAUCGCUAGAUGUUACCAUGUUACAGUGGAAGGAAUGCAAACAAUAAUUUUUCCCAUUUUUUUUUUUGUUAUGUCCACCAUGUAACCGGACACACAGAAUUUUUUUUUUUUUUUUUUUUUUUUUUUGAGACGAAGUCUCACUCUGUCGCCCAGGCUGGAGUGCAGUGGCGCAUCUCGGCUCACUGCAAGCUCCGUCUCCCACGUUCACGCCAUUCUCCUGCCUCAGCCUCCCGAGUAGCUGGGACUACAGGCGUCUGCCACCAUGCAGCUAAUUUUUUGUAUUUUUUUUUUUAGUAGAGAUGGGGUUUCACCGUGUUAGCCAGGAUGGUCACGAUCUCCUGACCUCGUGAUCCGCCUGCCUCGGCCUCCCAAAGUGCUGGGAUUACCGGCAUGAGCCACCAUUUCCGGCAACAGGCAGACUUUUAACACAUUCCUUACCUAAACUUUUAAAAGGGACAAAAGAUAUAUGCCUUUGGUUUGGGAGAUGACGAAACAUAUGCUUUAAUGACUAUUGGGUUGGAAUCUUCUUGAGAGAGGAUCCUUCUUAGCCUAGACUAGAGUCUUCAAAAGCCCACAGUGCUUCGUAAAGUUUCAUACGUGGAAGAGAGAAGGAUGUUCCACUGGAAAAGCAGAAUUGCAGCUGAGCUGUCCUGAAAUGCCCAGCACUCUGUGGAGACGCGGAGGAGGUUUCCUGGGACAAAGUGCUGAACCAGCUACAGCCACAAGCUGUCUCCACCAUCAGAUGUGGCUUACCUGGUUCCUGAGUCAAUUCCAUCCAGAUGGUGAAGCCAAGGCCUGAAGACCUUUCCUGCAAGGUCGCAGAGGAAGAGGCAGAAGAAGGACCAGAACCCAGCUCCCCUGACUCCCUAUCCAGUGCUCUUCUCAUAGAUUACAUUGCUUCAGCAUCCACCUGGCUAUUGCUCCAUCCAGGGGUUACAGGAGUCACUGACUGUUUUGGUUGCUUCUUGGUUGGAGGAUGUUGUGCCUCACCGAUGAGAGCCGGAAGCAAAGGUACCAGUUCUUAGAGGAAGCAUAGGAAUGUGUCCCUUCCUGCUCGGGUCUCUCAACUGAACUCAACCCUUCCUUGAUUGAUUGACAAGCAUGUUAUCUCUCAUAAUCCCUGCCCGGUAAGGGCUGAUGUCCCCAUUUUACAGAUGAGGAUAUUGGAGCUCAGAGAAGUGAAAUGAUUGCUGAAGGUCACACAGCCUGGCUUCAAGCCUCUCGGGCUCCAAAAGGCAUCUUCUGUUCUCUCCGUCAGGAAGCCUCUUUUGGAUGAUUAACUGAGAUUAAAAAUGAAAAGACACAUGAAAGAAA